rnacentral:rRNA from 1 species
GGCGGCGUGCUUAACACAUGCAAGUCGAACGGUGAACACGGAGCUUGCUCUGUGGGAUCAGUGGCGAACGGGUGAGUAACACGUGAGCAACCUGCCCCUGACUCUGGGAUAAGCGCUGGAAACGGCGUCUAAUACUGGAUAUGUGACGUGACCGCAUGGUCUGCGUCUGGAAAGAAUUUCGGUUGGGGAUGGGCUCGCGGCCUAUCAGCUUGUUGGUGAGGUAAUGGCUCACCAAGGCGUCGACGGGUAGCCGGCCUGAGAGGGUGACCGGCCACACUGGGACUGAGACACGGCCCAGACUCCUACGGGAGGCAGCAGUGGGGAAUAUUGCACAAUGGGCGCAAGCCUGAUGCAGCAACGCCGCGUGAGGGACGACGGCCUUCGGGUUGUAAACCUCUUUUAGCAGGGAAGAAGCGAAAGUGACGGUACCUGCAGAAAAAGCGCCGGCUAACUACGUGCCAGCAGCCGCGGUAAUACGUAGGGCGCAAGCGUUAUCCGGAAUUAUUGGGCGUAAAGAGCUCGUAGGCGGUUUGUCGCGUCUGCUGUGAAAUCCGGAGGCUCAACCUCCGGCCUGCAGUGGGUACGGGCAGACUAGAGUGCGGUAGGGGAGAUUGGAAUUCCUGGUGUAGCGGUGGAAUGCGCAGAUAUCAGGAGGAACACCGAUGGCGAAGGCAGAUCUCUGGGCCGUAACUGACGCUGAGGAGCGAAAGGGUGGGGAGCAAACAGGCUUAGAUACCCUGGUAGUCCACCCCGUAAACGUUGGGAACUAGUUGUGGGGUCCAUUCCACGGAUUCCGUGACGCAGCUAACGCAUUAAGUUCCCCGCCUGGGGAGUACGGCCGCAAGGCUAAAACUCAAAGGAAUUGACGGGGACCCGCACAAGCGGCGGAGCAUGCGGAUUAAUUCGAUGCAACGCGAAGAACCUUACCAAGGCUUGACAUAUACGAGAACGGGCCAGAAAUGGUCAA